CCGGCGCGUCCUGGCGGGGUCGGGAGCGGGGAGGUUUGUUUGGGAGAGCUGAACCCCUCGUUCUGUGUCCCCCGUGGUGCGAGGGUAAAGCUGCCUUUUUAAAGCCCGGGCGGCAUCAAGGACAGAUCUUGAGCAGCGUGCGAAUCCCUGAAGUUACGGCUUUUCAGAGGUUAUUUUAGAGACCACAGGAAAGCGCCUUGGCAGAUGAAUUUGGAGCCAAACAAGAGCUGAAGAAAGAAACCUGAAAUAUUGCAAUUCUGGCUGGAUUACUUUUUUCAUCCUGAGCUGCAAAAGGAAUAAGGCUGAAUGCUAACAUUUUGAUUUCUUGAGAAGAGGGUCAGAGCCUAAUGGGUUAGUUCCUGUCUCCACACUAGGGCACGUGGUGUAGCUUUCUGGAAACCUUCUAUACGUAACAGUGUGCUGCAAUAUUCCUGCUAGAUUAAGAAGAGAGCAUUGCACUUCAAGGAAAAGAUGAACACUUACAAGUCUGUUGAGGGAUAGAAAUGAGAAUAAGCACAAGUCUACAACACAUGACCUUCAAAGAAAGACCAAGUGAAUUGCUAUGUCUGAGAGCAAGCAACUGAAGACUGAACACACUUGAAUUAACAGUCCUCAAGAGCAUAAAAGGCUGCUUCAGAAAGAAAAAGGAUGAUCCGUUCUCUGUCCAUGACUCUUAUUAUCUAAUCCACUGCCAAAUGAUUCCUGCACCAGAACAAUCUGUGUCUUGAAAAUAACACAGUGCUAAGAGAGACCACAAAGAACUGAGAGGGAAGAUGAGAAUUUGGAGAGGUCACGACAAAACACUGAGUGACAUGAAAGUGUGGGAUGUGUUUGAGUAAAGAUGAAUAAAGGUUCUGUUCUCACACAAGAAGAAGGAGCUACACAAGCACAGGAUAGAUUUCAACAUUAGUAACAGCUCUUCAGAAAAGGAUCUGGCAGAUGUUGUAGAUCACACGCUGAACAUGAGGUAACAGUUGCAAAAAAAGGAAAAUGCUCUAGUACAGUGUUCAAAGAAACUGCCUGGGAAGGCACAUCAGCUGCCCUGUCUGCUCUACUCCACACUCAGGGAGGUGAAUAGGACCUCUACUGAGUUUGCUUUUGCUUCUUUUCUGUGAUUCAGGAUGUCAUUGCACCUGAAUGGUCUUACGGGUUCUUCAUUACAGUGGUAGAUGUGUGUUAGGGCCAACAUUUUCAAAUGUAGGUAUUUAAUCUGAGGCGUGUAUGUAACAAUGUUCUCAUCAGCCACAUGCAUGGCUUAAUUCUCACAGAUUGUUUUCAAGUUUUGCACGUGCUAUGGGUAGAGAAGAACAUAAAUACCAACAUGACUUCAGUUCCCUGACUGACUGCAGCAGAUGCUCCAAUACAGAUUCCUGAGACCCUAAAUUAAGCAGUGGUAGGAUAAUCUGCUACUAAUACCAAGUAGCUAAGAUUGGCUUAAAAUCAAGCAUGCAGCUUAGUGUUUCUUCCAGCUUCUGUAUUAACAGCAACAAUUUAAAUUCCAGAUGGUAUUGUUAUCCUUUUAUAUGUUCAGUCACUUCUUGUGUCAUUUUCUGAACUGUACCCACAGUCUCCACAGUUCAAUUGCAUAUGGUGUGAAAAGUAAUUCUGUAUUAUCUUUUGAAAUUGUCCAGAAGAAGUAGUGAAUACUUUUGCUUUGGUUGUUAACUUUGACAAUCUUAACAAAACCGUCCAGCUGUCAUUAAAAUCUUUCAGGUGCAGACCGAAUUGUCUGGAAAUAAGCAGCCCCACCUCAGAGCAGCCAGUAAGCCAGAGGCUAACAUGGUUAUCUAAAUUAACACUGAAUGAAAACCUGGGUUUCGCACUUCCCAGGUGUAUUUCGUAAUUGCUGGCAGUCCAUUUAAAAACCAACAGCAGAUGUUCCACAGUGCAUUGCAUAUUCAUUGUGGUAGAGAUGGCUUCUACAUCAUGGCAUUUGAAGAACUGGGUUGGAGUAUGUGAGGUGAAGGCUUGGGUCUUUGCUGCAAACCACAUGCUAAAAAUGAAUUUUUUGUUUGAUAGGUGAGCACCUGAGCGUUCAAUAUCUUAGCAUUUCUAGAUGGCUUUCUCUGUUAAGUGUUUCCCCUUUUUUUCUGUCAGAGGAAUUAUGAAACAUGAACUCGUGUACGAAUUUUUUUGCCUUUUGCAGCAAAAACCUGUUUUUUAAAUCAAUAAAUACAAUUGUUUUGCCUGUCAGUGGUCAGAUAUG